GAGCAGGGACCUUGGCUGUCUUGCUCACUCUCAUAUCCUCAGCACAAAGGACACUUCCUGGUAGGCAGAAGGCACUCAGUAAGUGCUCAAGUGCCAAAUGAAGACACGAAUGAACAACAUCCACAGAGUUGCUUCUACUUCAAUUUCUGGUCCUUUCCUAAGGCUGAGUUGAAGGCUGCGUCAUCAGAAGCUUGGCUGAGAGCUGACCUGGAAAGUUUGGAAAGUUCUUUGGAAGUGAGAUAUAUGCCAAAAGAUCUGAAGUCUUUCUCACCACAGUAAUCUGCAGAACUAAUCAUUCUAUCAGAAUUCCAGCAGCUCAACCUCACCUCUGCAUGCUGAUUCUAUUACCAACGGCUCCUUAGGGGUCUCAAUUAAGCAGUGCCUCAUUGGUCUCACUGGGUGUGCUGCUUUACCCAGGAUGUGAUCACAGGCAACUAGAACAAAGUUACACUUGUCAAAGUAAUAAGGAAAAGUCCUUUAAAAGGAUGAGUUAUCUUGAACUUUUCUUUCAAAUGUAGACAUCUUUAUGUUAGAAGGGAGAGUGAUUCCCCUUGACCUUUAUGUUUU
rnacentral:lncRNA from 1 species